AGGGUUCGAUCAUGGCUCAGGACGAACGCUGGCGGUGCGCCUUAUGCAUGCAAGUCGAGCGAAGCUUUUCAGUAGUUUACUACAGAAAAUGACUGAGCGGCGAACGGGUGAGUAACGCGUGAGCAAUCUACCUUAGUUACAGGGAUAGCCCGAGGAAACUCGGAUUAAUACCUGAUAUUCUUUACAUUUCGCAUGAAAUCAAAAGGAAAGGUCAGCCGAACUAAGAUGAGCUCGCGUUCUAUCAGCUAGUUGGUGAGGUAAAAGCUCACCAAGGCAACGACGGAUAGCUGGUCUGAGAGGACGAUCAGCCACACUGGGACUGAGACACGGCCCAGACUCCUACGGGAGGCUGCAGCAGGGAAUAUUGCGCAAUGAGCGAAAGCUUGACGCAGCGACACCGCGUGUGGGAUGACGGAUCUAGGUUUGUAAACCACUUUCAGGAGGGAAGAAAAUGACGGUACCUCCACAAGAAGCCCCGGCCAACUACGUGCCAGCAGCCGCGGUAAUAC
rnacentral:rRNA from 1 species